rnacentral:rRNA from 1 species
CCUACGGGAGGCAGCAGUAGGGAAUAUUGGUCAAUGGAUGCAAGUCUGAACCAGCCAUGCCGCGUGCAGGAAGAAGGCCUUCUGGGUUGUAAACUGCUUUUGUCAGGGGAUAAAACGACCUUGCGAGGUUAAUUGAAGGUACCUGGCGAAUAAGCCACGGCUAACUACGUGCCAGCAGCCGCGGUAAUACGUAGGUGGCGAGCGUUGUCCGGAUUUAUUGGGUUUAAAGGGUGCGUAGGCGGCCCUGUAAGUCAGUGGUGAAAUAUCGCAGCUCAACUGUGAGGGUGCCAUUGAUACUGCAGGGCUUGAGUGGAUUUGAGGUAGGCGGAAUUGACGGUGUAGCGGUGAAAUGCUUAGAUAUCGUCAAGAACACCGAUAGUGAAGACAGCUUACCAAGCUUCAACUGACGCUGAUGCACGAAAGUGUGGGGAUCAAACAGGAUUAGAUACCCUGGUAGUCCACACUGUAAACGUUGAUUACUCGCUGUUGGCGAUACACAGCCAGCGGCUAAGCGCAAGCGAUAAGUAAUCCACCUGGGGAGUACGCCGGCAACGGUGAAACUCAAAGGAAUUGACGG